UACGUAGGGUGCGAGCGUUAAUCGGAAUUACUGGGCGUAAAGCGUGCGCAGGCGGUUCGUUGUGUCGGCGGUGAAAGCCCCGGGCUUAACCUGGGAAUGGCCGUUGAAACUGGCGAACUGGAGUGUGGCAGAGGGGGGUGGAAUUCUGUGUGGAGCGGUGAAAUGCGUUGAUCUACAGAGGAACACCAAAAAAGGCGAAGGCAGUCAACUAUUCUGUUCCUGACAUUGAGGCAUGAAAGCGUGGGGAGCGAACCGG
rnacentral:rRNA from 1 species